CACCGUUUAACAAAUGAUUAUGUUAAGCAAUUCGCCUACGUAUAUAAACUGGCAAUCAAGUUGUUUGCAAUUUUCUGUCAAAUGACAGUCGGGAGGCAAUCACUGAUUGUUGUAUCCACCGCGUAACUUUUUUCCGAAGGUGAUCCUUAUCUCGGAGCAUGACAUGAUUGUUUUAUUUGGGGCUCCUCUGCUAUCAUGCAUAGUAGUUUUGAAAGUGAAAAUCAUAAUAUGACUUUUCCACGGCAUUAUGAAUUACAUUGUUCGUUAUCGCAAUUACGAACACGAAUUAUCCCACUCACACGGCACCCAAUUUGACAGUUUUUUGUUUCACUGGUUUACUUUUUUGCUCCAUUUUAAAACGCAUGGAAAACGAAAGCUCUUAGUAAAAAUUAAAAAAAUAUCGAAUUGAAUUGGUUAUGUAAGUGCCAGCCAGUAGAAUUCGACGAAAAAAUUCUGUUAUAUCCACGUAAUUUGGCGUAAUUCGCGAAUGACGAAUCAAGUGAUUCAGCAUGUAUUUGGAGUGCGAAUUACGAUUGAGAGAGCAAUCAACAUAAUUGGUGUGACGUGAAAAUGCAAUAUAACAUGUUUUUGUUUUGGAAAACUUUGUAAGCCAGCCCAACUCAUUUAAUAAAAAGAAUUACUAUCAUGAA